GACGAACGCUGGCGGCGUGCUUAACACAUGCAAGUCGAACGGAAAGGCCCUGCUUUUGUGGGGUGCUCGAGUGGCGAACGGGUGAGUAACACGUGAGUAACCUGCCCUUGACUUUGGGAUAACUUCAGGAAACUGGGGCUAAUACCGGAUAGGAGCUCCUGCUGCAUGGUGGGGGUUGGAAAGUUCCGGCGGUUGGGGAUGGACUCGCGGGUUAUCAGCUUGUUGGUGGGGUAGUGGCUUACAAAGGGUUUGACGGGUAGCCGGCCUGAGAGGGUGAACGGCCACAUUGGGACUGAGGUACGGCCCAGACUCCUACGGGAGGCAGCAGUGGGGAAUAUUGCACAAUGGGCGGAAGCCUGAUGCAGCAACGCCGCGUGCGGGAUGACGGCCUUCGGGUUGUAAACCGCUUUCGCCUGUGACGAAGCGUGAGUGACGGUAAUGGGUAAAGAAGCACCGGCUAACUACGUG
rnacentral:rRNA from 1 species